rnacentral:rRNA from 1 species
AUUGAACGCUGGCGGCAGGCCUAACACAUGCAAGUCGAGCGAGCGGCGGACGGGUGAGUAAUGUAUGGGGACCUGCCUGAUAGAGGGGGAUAACUACUGGAAACGGUGGCUAAUACCGCAUACUAUCGGAUGAACCCAGAUGGGAGUAGCUAGUGGGGGGGGUAAAGGCUCACCUAGGCGACGAUCCCUAGCUGGUCUGAGAGGAUGAGCAGCCACACGUGAACUGAGACACGGCCCAGACUCCUACGGGAGGCAGCAGUGGGGAAUAUUGCACAAUGGGCGCAAGCCUGAUGCAGCCAUGCCGCGUGUAUGAAGAAGGCCUUAGGGUUGUAAAGUACUUUCAGCGGGGAGGCGUUACCCGCAGAAGAAGCACCGGCUAACUCCGUGCCAGCAGCCGCGGUAAUUC